GGGCCACCGAGUAACUCCCAACCCCUGUGAACAUACCAAUUGUUGCCUCGGCGGAUCAGCCCGCUCCCGGUAAAACGGGACGGCCCGCCAGAGGACCCCUAAACUCUGUUUCUAUAUGUAACUUCUGAGUAAAACCAUAAAUAAAUCAAAACUUUCAACAACGGAUCUCUUGGUUCUGGCAUCGAUGAAGAACGCAGCAAAAUGCGAUAAGUAAUGUGAAUUGCAGAAUUCAGUGAAUCAUCGAAUCUUUGAACGCACAUUGCGCCCGCCAGUAUUCUGGCGGGCAUGCCUGUUCGAGCGUCAUUUCAACCCUCAAGCCCCCGGGUUUGGUGUUGGGGAUCGGCGAGCCCUUGCGGCAAGCCGGCCCCGAAAUCUAGUGGCGGUCUCGCUGCAGCUUCCAUUGCGUAGUAGUAAAACCCUCGCAACUGGUACGCGGCGCGGCCAAGCCGUUAAACCCCCAACUUCUGAAUGUUGACCUCGGAUCAGGUAGGAAUACCCGCUGAACUUAAGCAUAUCAAUAGCCGGAGGAAA
rnacentral:rRNA from 1 species